UUUUAAUUAAUAGACUGUUAAAUGCACUUCACUACAUAGAUGUUUCAGAGAUUUUAAUGGGAUGCCGAUUAGUGUGGAUGUCGGCGUGUCCUGUCCAGAAGCCUGAGGACUAGACUAAAUACUGUAGGUCCACCUUACAGUUCGUUACUGAGCCAGUGGCCUUGGUUUUACAGCGGUGAUGUAGCAGAAACCGUGUGUCUUCUGGUCAGAGCUGGUGUUGGCCUUGGUCAGACUAUGUUCCUCCUAAUUUUCAGGCGUGUUACCAGGCUUCGACUUCCACUAAUAAACCAGAAACUGGACAGAUCUGCCUUUCUGGAAUUAAGUUUCUUGAAUGUUGCUUUUAACGCAAACAUACAAAACGGUGAUUGUUUACAAAGCUGACACAACGGUGCUAGAUUUUAUUUUUAUCUUCGUGCCUCUCUUUCAAACAGUAACCCAUCCCCUUAAUUUCCGGUGCAUUAAUUCUUUUGCACAGCAAAGUUGGUGAAGCAUUUUUGUUAUUUUACCAACCGCUUGUCGUGCGCAAUGAAACCUGGCAGCACAUCAGGUCUCACAUGGCUGAAGCUGAUCUACAUCACAUUACUCUCAGUUUCAGAGGCACAACAACUCCAAGUCUGGUCUGAAGUGACCGGAUACCUUGGGCUGGAUGUCACUCUGCUAUGCCAGUUCAUCAAAGGAAGCAACCACACCAUUAGUCAGGUUCAGUGGUAUAUUCUGCAACCAGGAGGAUAUAAAACCUCCAUUCUUGUUUUUAACACAGUGCUUGGACUGAAUAUUCAUGAAUCUCCUCUGAAGGGGAGAGUGAAUAUUUCAGAACAAUCUUUGAUCAUUAGAAAUGUGGAAAUGAGCGAUGCAGGAUUGUACUCCUGCUCUGUUACAACCUUUCCCAGUGGUUCACUUGAAAAAUCAACCAACCUUAUUGUUCGAGAACAGAAGCUGUUAUCAUCAGGGGAGAUCUCUGCUAU